AAGAAACCUCAAAGGAAUUACAAAGAAACAAUAAGAAAUCUUAAAGAAAUAUUUGAAUGAUUACAAAUAUAUCUCAAAUACAUCUUAAUUUAAUCCUAGUUAAAAUCUUAUUAGACUUCAUUCAAACUUUAGGCCAAAAGCUAACUAAAUCUUAAAUCUUAAAUAAAUUCUAAUAAAAUCCUAAAUCCUAAACCAAAUCCUAAUAAAAUCUUGAUCAAAUCCUAAAUCCUAAAUCAAACUCAAACUAAAUCCUAAAUCCUAAAUCAAAUCUUAAUCAAAUUCUAAAUCAAAGUCAAACUAAAUCCUAAAUCCUAAGUCAAAUCUUAAUCAAACCCUAAAUCCUAAAUCAUACUCUAAUCAAAUUCUAAUCAAAUCCUAAAUCCUAAAUCAAACUAUAAUUAAAUCUUAAAUCUUAAAUCAAAUCCUAAUCAAAUCCUAAAUCCUAAACCAAACUCUAAUCAAAUUCUAAAACUUAAAUCAAAUCUUAACCAAAUCUAAAUCCUAAAUCAAAUCCUAAUCAAAUCCUAAAUUCUAAACCAAAUCCUAACCAAAUCCUAAAUACUAAAUCAAAUCCUAACAAAGUCUUUGUAAUUCCAACAAUAGAUUUAAACUUCAAUAAUUAAUGAAUGAA
rnacentral:lncRNA from 1 species